UAGGGAAUCUUCCGCAAUGGGCGAAAGCCUGACGGAGCAACGCCGCGUGAGUGAUGAAGGUUUUCGGAUCGUAAAGCUCUGUUGUUAAGGAAGAACGAGUGUGAGAAUGGAAAGUUCAUGCUGUGACGGUACUUAACCAGAAAGGGACGGCUAACUACGUGCCAGCAGCCGCGGUAAUACGUAGGUCCCGAGCGUUGUCCGGAUUUAUUGGGCGUAAAGCGAGCGCAGGCGGUUAGAAAAGUCUGAAGUGAAAGGCAGUGGCUCAACCAUUGUAGGCUUUGGAAACUGUUUAACUUGAGUGCAGAAGGGGAGAGUGGAAUUCCAUGUGUAGCGGUGAAAUGCGUAGAUAUAUGGAGGAACACCGGUGGCGAAAGCGGCUCUCUGGUCUGUAACUGACGCUGAGGCUCGAAAGCGUGGGGAGCGAACAGG
rnacentral:rRNA from 1 species